AAACAACCCAGACCGCCAGCUAAGGUCCCAAAGUCAUGGUUAAGUGGGAAACGAUGUGGGAAGGCCCAGACAGCCAGGAUGUUGGCUUAGAAGCAGCCAUCAUUUAAAGAAAGCGUAAUAGCUCACUGGUCGAGUCGGCCUGCGCGGAAGAUGUAACGGGGCUAAACCAUGCACCGAAGCUGCGGCAGCGACGCUGAUGCGUUGUUGGGUAGGGGAGCGUUCUGUAAGCCUGCGAAGGUGGCCUGUGAGGGUUGCUGGAGGUAUCAGAAGUGCGAAUGCUGACAUAAGUAACGAUAAAGCGGGUGAAAAGCCCGCUCGCCGGAAGACCAAGGGUUCCUGUCCAACGUUAAUCGGGGCAGGGUGAGUCGACCCCUAAGGCGAGGCCGAAAGGCGUAGUCGAUGGGAAACGGGUUAAUAUUCCCGUACUUGGUGUUACUGCGAAGGGGGGACGGAGAAGGCUAUGUUGGCCGGGCGACGGUUGUCCCGGUUUAAGCGUGUAGGUGUGUGUUCCAGGUAAAUCCGGUU
rnacentral:rRNA from 1 species